UGGCUUCCCUGUUGUUGCUGUUACAUCUCCUUCCACCACCUCCAGGGGGACUGAAGUCUCCAAAAAUUAGUGCAUGUGAUGCAGUUGAGAGACUUGUUGUCUUUCAUAAGUCAUGCUGCAGUUUGGAGGAGCAUCUCCGCAACCAGCAGGGUCAGCAGCCGUACCUCCUCGCUGUUGGGCGUCAGAAGAGCAAGAUUGAGAGCUUCUACAUCACAAUGGAUAAGCGUCUCAUCUCAUGCAAGGCAAACCGCUCCCUCGGGGCAUGUGAUGAACUUUUGAAAGCACAUUUUGCGUUUAAUUUGUCUUACGAUGUGGCACUUGUGAAUUUUUACACAUUCCUGCAGACAACAUUGUAUAACAUUGAUGUGGGGAAAAUGAAGGAGUCACCCAGAGUUAAAGACUUGAGAGCCAGACUGCUUAACCAGCCAGCAGCACUCUCACUCUGUGAGUAAGAAGCUAUAACAAUGUUUACCUGUUUCAUGCGUCAGAAAUAUUAUCCCAGCAGUCAAGUUGAUUUCACAUUUAAGAGUUGAACAUGGUUACUAUCCUGGACCCAAGUUCAAAUUGUUUUGUUCUCAGCAAGGAUGUAGGCCUCAGUUCCUAACAUAUACAGGUUUUCGGAAGCACCUUAAUAGUGUUCAUAGUAAUGUUCAGCAAAUUGCUCAAACUUCAACUGUUGCAUGUUCAUCUAGUGAGCCAGUUGCAACUUCAUCUCAGGCACAUGCUUUGGAGGACACAUUUAAUCCACAAAAUCAAUGUAGCUCUUCCAGUGUUUAUUCUGAGAGCAAUGAUUCAGGACUUACUAUAGAUCCAACUAAAGAAAUGUGUGCAUCCAUCGUGGCCAAAUUACAGGGGAUUGGGAUUUCCAACAGUUUGGUAUCCUCAAUUGUAGGAGAUUUGGAAGAACUAACAAGUGAGAUUCGCUCACAAGCAAAGCAUACAGCUAUUUCUGCUUUACCUAUAACUGACCCCAACAUAUCUGUGAUAAAUGAAUCUUUUGAAGAUUAUGAAAACCCGUUCACAAAUCUAAAUACAGAAUGGAAACUAAAUAAAUACUACCACCAAAAAUGGGGAGUUGUCGAGCCAGUAGAAAUAACACUGGGAGUGAGAUAUGACAACAGGCGAAAUCAGAAAUCCGGUACUUAUGAUCAAGUACCUGUGAAGGAUACUUUUAUACUGUAUAUGUGCCGGUUUUAGAAACAUUGAAGUUCAUGUGCAGAAAUCCAGACAUUUGUGUUUUGCUAAAGAAAGAGUGUAGAUCAGAGCCUGGCACUUAUACUGACUUCUUUGAUGGAAGUUAUUUUAAAACCCACCCUUUGUUUACAGCUAAAAGACAUGCAUUACAAAUCCAACUAUACUAUGUUGAUUUUGAAACAGCCAAUCCCCUUGGCUCCAAACGUGGAAUUCACAAAAUUGGCUCUCUUUAUUUUGUUGUAAGAAACUUUCCCCAAAAAUUUAAUUCAGUUUUGAUGAACAUUCAUUUGGUAACACUUUUUCACACACAAGAUCUGCACAAGUAUGGUUUUGAUGUUAUACUAGAACCGUUGAUAAAUGAUUUGAAAAAACUAGAAAGCCAAGGGCUAAGUCUUCCAUUUUCAGAUGAGCAGGUAUAUGAUACAAUCUGUCAGAUCACUGGAGAUAAUCUAGGGAUGCACACAAUUCUUGGUUUUAAUGAGUCAUUCAGUAGCCGUCAUUUCUGUCGCCUUUGUUUGAUUGAGAAGAAUGAUUGUCAAACGGUAUACAGUGAGGAUGAUCCUAAGGUGAUCCUUCGUGGAAAAGAUAUGUUUGAAAUGCAUUGACAGUCUCUCCAGGAAAACCCACAAUUGAAGUCACUUUAUGGUUUGAAAAAAAGAUCUACACUUAAUUCAUUGAAGUAUUUCCAUGUUUGUAAUAACUAUUAAUUUGAUAUCAUGCAUGAUCUUCUUGAGGGUGUGGUUCAGUAUGAGAUCAAAUUGCUUUUUGGAUAUCUCACACAACACUUUAUGUCAGAGCAGGACUUGCUUUCCAGGAUUUAUGGUUUUGGUUAUGGAUUUUUAGAACGGAAAAAUCGUCCUACAAAGAUUAUUUUGGAGAGUGUUGGCAAUGGCAUUGGUUUGAAUUCUAUUCAGACAUUGUGUCUUGUGAAAAACAUCCCACUGUUGUUUGGUGACAUUAUUCCUGCAGGAAACAAAAACUGGAAUUUGUUACUGUUGUUACUUCAAAUAAUGAACAUAGUUUUUUCACCUUCUCUCACUCUAGGUAUGACAAUAUAUUUAAAGCAUUUGAUUGUUGACCACCACAAACUAUUUAAGCACUUGUAUCCACAUAGAAACUUGAUACCUAAGCAUCAUUUUAUGAUCCAUUACCCAUCUUCUAUAAGGAAAAUUGGUCCCUUAUUAUAUACGUGGUGUAUGAGGUUUGAGGCCAAACACAAGCUGUUUAAAGAUUGUUUUAAAAAUGUCAAAAACAUAACCAAAUCGCUUGCUAAAAAGCAUCAGAUGGCCAUUGCUUAUCACUGGGAAACCUUCACCCUCAAACAAAAUGAGUAUGGGCCAAUUAAAUAUUUUCUCUUCAGAGAUGAGAAUGUCGUCAACAAUGAAAAGCUUGAAACGAUCUUGUCAAAAGAUGUUUUCUCAACUAGUUGGGUUAAAGUUGAUGGUGCAGAGUAUAAAGCUGGACUAGUUAUUUGCAGUACAAUGGAAGAAGACAAGCCAGUCUUUUGUCAAAUAAGUGAUGUAGUUUUGGUUGAAGAUCACUUUUUUGUUUUGACAAACAAGCUAUUUACAGAGAAUUUUGAUAACCAUCAUCAUGCAUUCAGAGUAUUACGAAGUGUGGAAAGAUGUCUACUAAAAAUGUCUGAGCUUAAAUUUCAUAAACCGUUUGAUAUUCAAAGCUCAUACAAUGUUUCAGAUGAAAGUAUGUACAUUAUACCUUCAUUCACAAUGUUUUAAUUCAACUGACUGCAAGGGAGAAAAGGCACAAAUAAAUGUUUUUGACAAUGA